rnacentral:rRNA from 1 species
UGGGGAAUAUUGCACAAUGGGGGAAACCCUGAUGCAGCGACGCCGCGUGAGUGAAGAAGUAUUUCGGUAUGUAAAGCUCUAUCAGCAGGAACGAGACAAGACGGUACCUGACUAAGAAGCCCCGGCUAACUACGUGCCAGCAGCCGCGGUAAUACGUAGGGGGCAAGCGUUAUCCGGAAUCACUGGGUGUAAAGGGAGCGUAGACGGCUGUGCAAGCCUGAAGUGAAAGGCAGGGGCCCAACCCCUGGACUGCUUUGGGAACUGUACGGCUGGAGUGCAGGAGAGGUAAGUGGAAUUCCUAGUGUAGCGGUGAAAUGCGUAGAUAUUAGGAGGAACACCAGUGGCGAAGGCGGCUUACUGGACUGUAACUGACGUUGAGGCUCGAAAGCGUGGGGAGCAAACAGG